GAUGAACGCUGGCGGCGUGCCUAAUACAUGCAAGUCGAGCGAAUGGAUUAAGAGCUUGCUCUUAUGAAGUUAGCGGCGGACGGGUGAGUAACACGUGGGUAACCUGCCCAUAAGACUGGGAUAACUCCGGGAAACCGGGGCUAAUACCGGAUAACAUUUUGAACCGCAUGGUUCGAAAUUGAAAGGCGGCUUCGGCUGUCACUUAUGGAUGGACCCGCGGCGCAUUAGCUAGUUGGUGAGGUAACGGCUCACCAAUGCAACGAUGCGUAGCCGACCUGCGAGGGUGACCGGCCACACUGGGCGUGAGACACGGCCCAGACUCUGACGGGAGGCAGCAGUAGGGAAUCAUCCGCAAUGGGCGAAAGCCUGACGGUGCAACGCCGCGUGAGUGAGGAAGGUUUUCGGAUCGUAAAGCUCUGUUGUGAGGGAAGAACAGCUUCCGGAGGAAAUGCCGGAGGUUUGCCGGUACCUCACCAGAAAGCCCCGGCUAACUACUUGCCAGCAGCCGCCGUAA
rnacentral:rRNA from 1 species